GGGGAUUACAAUGAGGAUACAAAGCUCCCUCUUCUGAAUUAGUAUGAGGUAACUCUGCUGGCAGAAUCGAACCUAAUUAAAUAUCAUGCCAUCUGAGUAG